GAAAUGCGAUAAGUAGUGUGAAUUGCAGAAUUCAGUGAAUCAUCGAAUCUUUGAACGCACAUUGCGCCCUUUGGUAUUCCUUAGGGCAUGCCUGUUCGAGCGUCAUCUAAACCUUCAAGCCCUGCUUGGUGUUGGGUGCCUGUCCCGCCUCCGCGCGCGGACUCACCUCAAAUCCAUUGGCGGCCCCCGCGUCGGCCACGAGCGCAGCUGAAACGCGAACUCGUGAGCCCGUCCGGGCGGCUCCCAGAAGCUACACCCACCCAGUUUGACCUCGGAUCAGGUAGGGAUACCCGCUGAACUUAAGC
rnacentral:misc_RNA from 1 species